GAUGAACGCUGGCGGCGUGCCUAAUACAUGCAAGUCGAGCGAACAGACGAGGAGCUUGCUCCUCUGACGUUAGCGGCGGACGGGUGAGUAACACGUGGAUAACCUACCUAUAAGACUGGGAUAACUUCGGGAAACCGGAGCUAAUACCGGAUAACAUGUUGAACCGCAUGGUUCAACAGUGAAAGACGGUCUUGCUGUCACUUAUAGAUGGAUCCGCGCCGCAUUAGCUAGUUGGUAAGGUAACGGCUUACCAAGGCAACGAUGCGUAGCCGACCUGAGAGGGUGAUCGGCCACACUGGAACUGAGACACGGUCCAGACUCCUACGGGAGGCAGCAGUAGGGAAUCUUCCGCAAUGGGCGAAAGCCUGACGGAGCAACGCAGCGUGAGUGAUGAAGGUCUUCGGAUCGUAAAACUCUGUUAUUAGGGAAGAACAAAUGUGUAAGUAACUAUGCACGUCUUGACGGUACCUAAUCAGAAAGCCACGGCUAACUACGUG
rnacentral:rRNA from 1 species